rnacentral:rRNA from 1 species
UGGGGAAUAUUGGACAAUGGGCGAAAGCCUGAUCCAGCCAUGCCGCGUGAGUGAUGAAGGCCCUAGGGUUGUAAAGCUCUUUUAACGGGGAAGAUAAUGACGGUACCCGUAGAAUAAGCCCCGGCUAACUUCGUGCCAGCAGCCGCGGUAAUACGAAGGGGGCUAGCGUUGCUCGGAAUCACUGGGCGUAAAGCGCACGUAGGCGGACUCUUAAGUCGGUGGUGAAAUCCUGGAGCUCAACUCCAGAACUGCCUUCGAUACUGGGAGUCUCGAGUUCGGGAGAGGUGAGUGGAACUGCGAGUGUAGAGGUGAAAUUCGUAGAUAUUCGCAAGAACACCAGUGGCGAAGGCGGCUCACUGGCCCGAUACUGACGCUGAGGUGCGAAAGCGUGGGGAGCAAACA